rnacentral:misc_RNA from 1 species
UGAGGGUUACUACGUUAAUUUUGUGGUGUUUUUUAACUUACCGAUGGGACAUAGAAUAUUCAUCACUGACUAUGAGACUAUGACUAUAAAGUAAUUAGCAAGUUCUUGACUAUUAGUUUAUGAGUCCAACUUUAGAUUACGCGUUUUUUAGGCCAUCUGUCCAUGCACAGAGGCGUCCUUGUUUUAUUGGAUUUUUCUUUUGUUAUUUAGUAAUUGUUUCCUGUUGUGGAUGCGAUUGAAUUGUUUGUGUGCGAGAUUGACUCUGAGAGGAGUUGGUGGGAAUGAGUGUGGGUGUGGUUCUGGGAUGAGUUUGUGAGUUGCGGCAUGUUUGUUAGAAUGGUCUGGUUGAGUUGGGUGUUGAGCUGUGGUUUGGUGGGGACUGGAGCGGAAGAGGACGAGAGUUACGACCACCACAAGUAUUACAAGUCCCUGGUGAGGCAGAGCGAGGACUUUUGGGUUGAUUUGACUCAUUUGAAUAAGACGGAAGUGGGACUGGUGCGGGAGAAUGCGGCGCUGGCGGAUUCGUAUAGACAGGCCGCCACCGUGAAGCUAUCCUUCCAAUUCCCAUUUUAUGGCCACUACAUGAGGAACCUAACGAUAGCGACGGGAGGCUUCCUCUUCACGGGCGAUGAGGUCCACUCCUGGCUGGCUGCAACGCAUUACAUUGCUCCUCUCAUGGCUAAUUUUGAUCUUCGUAAGGAGGGUGCUAAGAUCAUAUAUGCAGACAAUGGAACUGCGUUCAUUGUAGAGUGGAAUAAUGUAUAUUUAAAUGAUGUCUCCAACAGCUCCAUAUCUGGGCCAUUUAGUUUCCAGACGAUCAUACAUCAUAAUGGGGAUAUAAUAUUUGCAUACAAAACCAUCGCUUUAAACAUUUCCCUUAUUGAGGACAAAUUCCAUCCGGUCAAAGUAGGACUUUCCGAUGCUUAUACAAUUGAUAAAUCUGCUUUCUAUGCGCGUCGUAUCACAAUUUAUGAAUAUCAUUACGUCAAUCUUCGGGAUUCUUCCAUAACAAAUUCUUCUGCCAUUCUUUUUAAAUCUCUCCCAACCUGUAAUGUUCAAAGUAACUGUGAGAAAUGUAUAUUAUUCAAUGGUAUUAACCAGGCUCAAAAUGAUGUUAACUUUAAGUGUGCUUGGUGCCCAAAACUUCAAAGUUGUUCUGAUGGAGUUGAUCGUUAUCUUCAAAAGUGGUUGAACUCUCAUUGUGAUUAUCAAAAUAUCAGCGACUCUUUAAAAUGUCGUUAUACUGAUCUUAAAACUACAGUACAACAGGUCAAUAUAAAGGACAUCAGUACUAAGGCUUACAAUUCUACAGAAUUUGAUGGACAUGUAAAUUCUAGUUCAUCUUUCAAUGGGAAAACAGAUAUUUCCUCCAUUGCCCGCUUCAAUAUCGUGAUAGUUAUUAUUUUAUGUGUUCUGGUGAUAAUUGCAAUAAUUUGGUUCACUUACAGUUAUUUUUACCCUCACACAUGGUCUGGGCAGCUUCUAAUUAAGCUUUGUAAAAUGUGCAGAAUUCGUCAAAAAACUUGCUAAGAAAAUCUGUCAAGAGAAAGAGGGCAAAGAUAUAUUUGUGGUUAAAGAAAAAAUUAUAAUGGUAAGCUAAAGGAAUGUGGAAAAGGAAGAAGGAAGUCUUGAUUUUUGGUCGCCUGCCCUUUUUAUCUUUUGCACCCAAUAGAUUAAAAUGAAAUAGAUAGAAAAAGCAUAGACCAAAAUUGUGGACUUCUUUCCUACACAAUUUCCUUUUGUUUAAAAUUAAAUAGGAAAUUAAACGAAUAUUUUCUCCAAAUACCAGAAACGGUAUGAAUAGAAGACUUAGACAUUUAUUUAUGAAUAAUUUGAUUUCAAUGGACUCUGUCUUUAUUUGUCCGCAAUACAUUUUUUCCAAUCACAAAACAGACUCACAUUUAAUAAGGAAAUAAUCAGUAAGAUUGAGGUGUCCAGGUUAUAUAAUAUCCAUAUACAUCGUACAUCACAAACUCCCUCUCAUAAACGGAAUUAGAUCAGUUAUUUCUGCGUUAUAUACAUUAAGGGAGCUGAAGGUAAAUUAAGUAUUUUUUUAAGAGUUGCAAACGAGGAAAAGUGCACUUACAGAGAAUAUUGCUCAACUAUUUCAAUGAAUGAGCUGUAGAUGUAGGAUGAGAACUGUUUUUGUUCUCAUUGGGUCUUUCAGUGGAUUAUUCUGGCUUUGAUAGAAUUCUAUAGUUCUUAUAGAAGUGUAGGAUAUUCAUAGAAGAACUGGAGCAAGUUAUAUAUUCACUAGGUCUUACGUCACUAUCACAUUACUUGAUGUGAAGGGGCAUCUGUACAAUGAACGAUCCAUCCCUUAAAGGAGAUGGUAUCCACCAAUGGAGACACAAGUUUCCUUGGACAGAACAUGAGAUCAGAAGGCGUGUGGCUAGAAUAUCCAAAUGGAGAAAUAAGAACUACUAGGUUAUUAAAUACAUUUCUAGAACUUCUAGGAUUGUCAUCCUCAUUUCGAAUAUAUGAUGUCUUCGUCUUUCAAGCCUGCAUCAACUCUUGACACAAAUCGAUCUUCAAUACUUUUUGCACCUAUCAGAUCUUUCAGUAUCGUCCGACAAAAUGGCAAUGGCGACGUAACCAUCCACGCUACACAGCAGCCUCUAUCCAUAUGUAAACAUUUAUUGAAAGCUUAUUUGUCAUGUUUAUGAUUAUUUUUUAUAAUUUUGGAUUGGAUAUGGUCUAUUAAGUUUUCAAAUUAUAAUAUCUAUAAAUUUAAUUAUCAAGGUUGUUCAUCUCAUGUUUAAUAUGUUUUAUUCCAUUUUAAUAAAUAUUUAUAUGAAAGGGUUUCGACCAAUACCGAUUUGAGAAUAUGCAGGGCCCAGUCAAACAAAGAUGUGUGUUCAAUUCUUGAAUGUUAUCACGAUCAUACUCGAACAUUAGAAAAAAAUAUGGACAUCACUAACAAUAGUGAUGAAUCCCUAACUUUUUUUCUAUAAACUUGUAAAUAUAUAUUGCUGCAGUUAAUUAUUUUUAAUUUUGAGCGCAGAGACCUUCUAUUUACAUUUUAAAAAUAGCUUUUAGUUGAAUAUUUAUUAGUAUUAACUUAAAUAAUAUUUUGAUUCUUAAUAAACUCAUGUAUUUUA